rnacentral:rRNA from 1 species
UACAGAGGGGGCAAGCGUUCUUCGGAAUUAUUGGGCGUAAAGGGCGCGUAGGCGGCUUGGCAAGUGGAAGGUGAAAUCCCUCGGCUUAACCGAGGAACUGCCCUCCAAACUGCUUCGCUUGAGACCGGGAGAGGUGAGUGGAAUUCCCAGUGUAGCGGUGAAAUGCGUAGAUAUUGGGAGGAACACCAGUGGCGAAGGCGGCUCACUGGACCGGUACUGACGCUGAUGCGCGAAAGCGUGGGGAGCAAACGGG